CCCUUAGAUGUUCUGGGCUGCACACGUGCUACACUGGCAGGUUCAGCGAGCUUCAUGCCCUGAUCUGAAAGGAAUGGGAAAUCUUUUCAAAACCUGCCGUGCUUGGGAUAGAUGUUUGCAAUUAUUCAUCUUCAACGAGGAUUGCCUUGUAAGCGCACGUCAUCAGCGUGCAUUGAAUACGACCCUGUAUUCUGUACACACCGCCCGUCGCUCCUACCGAUUGAAGUUUUCGGUGAGUUGACAGGAGGAUUUUUUUGAAACUGGUUCGCCAGUGAAUUUUAGAUCCAAAUGCCAACGAAUCGAUGGCUUUAGAGGAAGGAGAAGUCGUAACA
rnacentral:rRNA from 1 species